UGCGAGUGAAGCGGGAAAAGCUCAAAUUUAAAAUCUGGUGGCCUUUGGCCAUCCGAGUUGUAAUUUAGAGAAGCGUCUUCCGCGCUGGACCGUGCACAAGUCUCCUGGAAUGGAGCGUCGUAGAGGGUGAGAAUCCCGUCUUUGGCACGGACGCCCAGUGCUUCUGUGAUGCGCUCUCGAAGAGUCGAGUUGUUUGGGAAUGCAGCUCAAAAUGGGUGGUGAACUCCAUCUAAAGCUAAAUAUUGGCGAGAGACCGAUAGCGAACAAGUACCGUGAGGGAAAGAUGAAAAGCACUUUGGAAAGAGAGUGAAACAGUACGUGAAAUUGUUGAAAGGGAAACGCUUGAAGUCAGUCGCGUCGUCCGAGACUCAGCCUCGCCUCGGCUUGGUGUACUUCUCGGCCGACGGGUCAGCAUCAAUUUUGCCCCUUGGAUAAUGGCGAGGGAAAUGUGACACCUUUGCGGGUGUGUUAUAGUCUCUAGUCGCAUGCAAGGGUCGGGAUUGAGGAACUCAGCACGCGCCUUCGGGCGUCGGGGUUNGCCCACGAUACGUGCUUAGGA
rnacentral:rRNA from 1 species